rnacentral:lncRNA from 1 species
AAUUCUGUAUGUUAGGCUAAGUAAAGACGGUCACUCACUCCUCGCCAAUGGAACUCAGUGCAUGACCAGAGAGACUCAGCACGAGGUAAAAUACUUUAUUCAUUUCAAUAAUGUAAUGUUAUAGGCUAAUGUAUUUAAUUAUACUGUCAACAGGUUAAACAAAUGUUACUCAAUUCUUUGUGUAAAGUUUUCUAGGUUUUGACAUUAUUGAGAAUGCCCUGAAGUAAAUAUUGUUUUUAGGUUUAAUUUACAUUUGAACCCAUUUCUAUUUUGAUUAACUCUUUCGAUUAAUAGAAACUGAAUGACGUCUCCUGUCUCUGUCAGAUGCAACCUAUGAAAACAAUGACAGGGACAGGCCUCUAUUCGCUUGCUUGCCUUCUCAUGAUCAGCAGUGUCCGCUCUACCUGUGUUCCUUUGGAGUGUCUGAGGUGUGACAUAAUCCCCUCACCUGAAGUGUCUGGGAAUCACAAAGCAGAUGAGGCCACCUGUGAACACCUGUGCUCUAACACUACCCAAUGUCUCAAUACCACUGAUGUAGGGAAUUGCAUAAAAGAUUUUGAAGUGUUUCUGAACACCAGUAAUGGAUUUGAAGUGGAGGAGGGUGAUGACCUCACAAUGGAGUGUGCCCACGACCUACCGGUGAGAGAUCAUGACCUGCUGGUGUUUGUCUGGCUGAAGGAUGGGCUUCCCCUGGAGGGCGAGAACAAUAGCACGGUGACCUUGGAGAGGAUAGGCAUAGAUACCCCUGCCGAGGGGAUAUACACCUGCACCAUCCAGAGUCCCUGUGGCAACUUCACCUCAGAUCCAGAAGAACUUGAAUUUAAAGGUAGACACACUCGCCAGUCAUAUUUGAGACUUGAAAAGUCUGUUUCUACUCAUAAUCAAAUCCAAUCUAAUUGUAUAGUCACAUGCGCCGAAUACAACAGGUGUAGUAGACCUUACAGUGAAAUGCUAACUUACGAGCCCCUAACCAACAUUGUAGUUUCAAAAAAUACAGAUAAGAAUAACAGAUAA